UGAGGAAUAUUGGUCAAUGGACGGAAGUCUGAACCAGCCAAGUAGCGUGCAGGAUGACGGCCCUAUGGGUUGUAAACUGCUUUUGUAUGGGGAUAAAGUCAAUCACGUGUGAUUGUUUGCAGGUACCAUACGAAUAAGGACCGGCUAAUUCCGUGCCAGCAGCCGCGGUAAUACGGAAGGUCCGGGCGUUAUCCGGAUUUAUUGGGUUUAAAGGGAGCGUAGGCUGGAGAUUAAGUGUGUUGUGAAAUGUAGACGCUCAACGUCUGACUUGCAGCGCAUACUGGUUUCCUUGAGUACGCACAACGUUGGCGGAAUUCGUCGUGUAGCGGUGAAAUGCUUAGAUAUGACGAAGAACUCCGAUUGCGAAGGCAGCUGACGGGAGCGCAACUGACGCUGAAGCUCGAAGGUGCGGGUAUCGAACAGGAUUAGAUACCCUGGUAGUCCGCACAGUAAACGAUGGAUGCCCGCUGUUGGUACCUGGUAUCAGCGGCUAAGCGAAAGCAUUAAGCAUCCCACCUGGGGAGUACGCCGGCAACGGUG
rnacentral:rRNA from 1 species